UUCCUCUCACCCUCUUCCGUUUCCACUAGCUCGUCGUCCGCCUCCUUCCCAGUUCCCGGGACGCUGUCAGCGGAGGUGGCAACGCUGUCGCCCCUCGAUUCUUCGAUCGGCCUCUUCCGCGUGGUCUCCGCCCCCUCGAGCCCCACCGGUGGUACUUCCAGUUCCUCUUCCGCCAGUGCAUAAACGAUGAUGGCAAUGCAUACUUCAGCCUUAACAUUUUAUACUGAAACUAUGUGUAUUCCACCAUCAAAAUACUCUAGAUCAAGAUUUUUUCAUGCGUCUUUUAUGCAAAGAUGUGUUUUUGGUCGUGAAGAAAGGAUUUAUCCUUGCAUUUGUUUCCUCAAGCUAGCUGCACCAUCAGCUAAUAACCCCAGGAGGAUGAACUGGGCUGCAAGCAGUAUGGCAGAUGGCAACAGAUCAAACGCAUCUGAAAGCGGCACAAAUCCAACAACCCGUUUGGUCAGAACCAUUCAAUCUUUCCAAACAAAGUUGAAUACUCGGAUCAAGCAGUUGAAGAAGGGCCUGUCGGUUAAAGUUUUCUUCUUCUUGGUGGGAUUCUAUUGUGCUACAGCAUUUGCCACUGUCAUUGGACAAACUGGCGACUGGGACAUUCUUUCUGCAGGCUUGGCCGUUGUUGUAGUUGAGGGGAUUGGUGCCCUCAUGUACAGGGCUUCUCUUCCUUAUGCCAACAAAAUAAGGAAUCUAGUUACUGUCUUUAAUUACUGGAAGGCAGGGCUUUCCUUGGGCUUGUUCUUGGAUGCAUUUAAAUAUGAAAUUGAUUCGUUCUUCGAGUCAUGUAAACCAAUGAAUAUUGAAAUAGAUAUAUUUCCUCCAUUUUGGUAAAUGCAUUAUUUUAGUGCAUGCAUUUGUACAUUUGAGGAGUCACUUAGAAUUAUAUUUUUUAUAAAAAAUUACUAGACGAUUAUGUCAAGAGAAGGGAAAGGAUUUUGGUGCUUUGUUGUGUGAUAGUUGCAUUUGACCGUUUCUUCUAUCUCAGAUCUUCACAUAGGAGUAUUAUCAGUAGGUAAGGGCCAAUAGUUAUCUUGCCUAAGGUUGAAUUUUUGAUUAAUUCUCUCUCAAACUAAUUGCAGUUAUUUCUGGAGAAGCCCUCAGGCCCAACUGAAUUUUAGUUUCCCUUCAGCAUCGAUGAGGUGUGAUGGAGUCCAAAGUUUCCAAUCCUCAAUGCAGAUGGAAAACAAGUCCUACGACUCAUAGGAAGCAAUCUUACUCUGAGGUGUAUGAGUGUAUCAUGUCCAGUCCCAGCAAGCAAAAUACUUUCACUGGUCAUACUUUGUGGAGCUUGUACAUGACAUUGCAAUCAUGAUGUAUCCUCUGGAAAAUUCUUUUGAAAGUUUUAAUUGUUUUUUCCUGGGCUUUUGGUUGUGUUUUUGUUGGUGAAACUACUUCGUGGUAGGCAUUCUUUGUUGUCUGAUGUAACUUCUGGUUCAGUUGCUUGUCCAUGAUCAAGUACAGCAGCAGCCGAGCAAUCCUGUUCAAAGAGCAGAGAAAAGAAGUUCAGAAAUAUUUGGGAUGUCCUCUUUCUUGCAUAUAUACUUGGAACAUUUGGACAAGAGCUUAGUGCUGGAUUUCUUGAUUCCAAACAGUUCUCAAUUCCUUGCAUGGAGAUGGCUCUGAGGAUCUUUAAAGGCUGAUCCUACUGGAGAGUCUUGGCAUUAUUUUGGGAUAUCUGAAGCACUUGUAUCAUUCUAAUCUACAGGGAUCUUUUGUUUCUUGUUGUUUAAUUUGUCUUCUGACUGAGGAAUUUUGUUUAAAGUGAUGUAUGAAUCUUUUGUACAUUAUUUUUAUAAUAGAUCACUACUAACCCUAAGUCUGUUGUCUCAGAAAGAAAAUUGUCUUCAGCAGGGAUCAGAAAAUGCAUCAUGGAAGAGAAUGUUAUAAGAUGAUUUGGAUGAGAAGAAUGCCAUCAGAGUUCCCACCUCCAUGAUAGGCUGUCCUCGUUACUAUUCAAAGCUGGGGCAAGGCGCUAAGCAUUUUUUGUCAUCACAUCUCCAUCAGACUUUGCUCAAUGGAACUGUUGGAUUUGGUGGUUUUGGGUUAUUUCUCCCUCUUGGAAAGAUAGUAACAGGAUAAGAACAUCUGAUCGGCAUAAUCGUAGAACCUCUUCUCUCUCUAUUUUUUGUGGUGUAUUUCUACUGAGGAAUUAAGGGCAGAGAGGUAAAGGAUAUUUGAAGGCAAGCUACGUUCUGGUUUAGUUGAAUGGCUUGUUUGAUUGGCCAUCUUUGUCAAGAGAUGAUGUCAAAACAUGUCUGUGGAUUGAUAAACGAAGUGUAGGCAGUAUAUUGCAUAUUGAAAUGCAUGGUUUUUGUAUUUACAAAUCACAUAGUGGUGUCAUGUUGUGUUGGAUAUAUUUGUCUGUAUGAUAGUCAUCCAAUAAAAGAUUGGAGAACAGUUUGACUUUUAUGUCACCAAAUCAGCUAAUUUAGAUUUCUUUCUUGUUGUUUAUCAUAAUUAAUCAUGUAGUUCUGUUGAGGUUUGUGACUAUACCCUUUCUUACUUUUUUUCUUUUAAUAUGUUUAAUGUGAUAAUUCAUGGUUGUUUGGGAGAUCUAUUCUUUCAUAUAUUAGAUUUUGUUAUCCACCUGCUAUCAUAUUCCGAAUCUCCUUUCUACUUGUCUAAAUAGGAGCCACAGGAGAACAUAUAAAUCCAAUGCCUUUGGUAGACUGAAGAAGUUAUUGUUUACUGAAUCUAAAGAAGUACCCCUCCUUUUCUUAGAACUUAACCCACCACCUUCAAAGGUUGUACAGUUGACUUCUUUGAAAGAAAUU